UCUCCCAGCUCUUCCAAUGAGGAAGGAGGCUCCAGGAGGGCGGGAACACCAUUUCUCUGUUUAGCACUGUGCCCCAUAACGCAGCUCCCAGCACAUAGUAGGACCUUCAUAAGUGUUGAAUCCAUAAGUGUCUUCCAUAGGGACAAAGAAAAUGCAGAUAGUGAUGGCAGAACUGGGACUCAAACCUAGCUCUCUCUGGCUUUAAAGACAUGGUUCUGGCUGGGCACAAUGGCUCAUGCCUGUAAUCUCAGCACUUUGGGAGGGUGAGGGGGAGGACUGCUCUAGCCCAGUAGUUUGAGACCAGCCCGGGCAAUAUAGCCAGAUACCAUCUCUUAAAAAAAAAAAUGCUGGAUGUGGUGGUAGGUGCCUGUAGUCCCAGCCACCUGGGAGGCUGAAGC
rnacentral:lncRNA from 1 species